CCGAGUCAGGGUCUUUAGGCCUGAAACUCCAACCCAAUGUCUAUUUACCGUGUUGCUUUGGCGGGCCCGUCUUACGACCGCCGGCGGUUUAUAACCGCUGGUCUGCGCUCGUCAAUAGCCUACCCAAAUACUUUUUAACUGUGAUGUCUAAAUCUAAUGAUAAAUCAUUA
rnacentral:misc_RNA from 1 species